AGAUUCUUUCGGGAUGAUGAAUUUAGUGACUUAGUGGCGGACGGGUGAGUAACGCGUGGGUAACCUGCCUUACACAGGGGGAUAACAGUUAGAAAUGACUGCUAAUACCGCAUAAAACAGCAGCACCGCAUGGUGCAACUGUCAAAGAUUUAUCGGUGUAAGAUGGACCCGCGUCUGAUUAGCCAGUUGGUGGGGUAACGGCCUACCAAAGCGACGAUCCAUAGCCGACCUGAGAGGGUGACCGGCCACAUUGGGACUGAGACACGGCCCAAACUCC
rnacentral:rRNA from 1 species